AGGAGCGGAGCAGAAAACACAGUCCGGUUGGUAGUCCGGGCACAGCGGAACCUCCGCUGUCAGUAACCUGCCUCCUUUGGUUGUCCGUGCUUCGUGAUGCGCAG
rnacentral:ncRNA from 1 species